GGGAACAGCAGCAACAAGGGCCUCGCUUCCUGCCGCCGCGGCCCGGGCUGCUGCUGUUCCU
rnacentral:pre_miRNA from 1 species